rnacentral:rRNA from 1 species
GUGAACGCUGGCGGUAGGCCUAACACAUGCCAGUCGAGCGGCAGCACAGUAAGAGCUUGCUCUUGCGGGUGGCGAGUGGCGGACGGGUGAGGAAUACAUCGGAAUCUACUUUUUCGUGGGGGAUAACGUAGGGAAACUUACGCUAAUACCGCAUACGACCUACGGGUGAAAGCAGGGGAUCUUCGGACCUUGCGCGAUUGAAUGAGCCGAUGUCGGAUUAGCUAGUUGGCGGGGUAAAGGCCCACCAAGGCGACGAUCCGUAGCUGGUCUGAGAGGAUGAUCAGCCACACUGGAACUGAGACACGGUCCAGACUCCUACGGGAGGCAGCAGUGGGGAAUAUUGGACAAUGGGCGCAAGCCUGAUCCAGCCAUACCGCGUGGGUGAAGAAGGCCUUCGGGUUGUAAAGCCCUUUUGUUGGGAAAGAAAAGCAGCAGGUUAAUACCCCGCUGUUCUGACGGUACCCAAAGAAUAAGCACCGGCUAACUUCGUG